rnacentral:lncRNA from 1 species
UCAUUUUCUAUAUAUAUAGAGAGAGAUAGAGCCGGAAUGCUAUCGGUAGCAAACGGGCUUCGUUGCCACUUAUUUGUUUUCGAUGAUAGAACCUCCAAAUUGACGAUCGGCACUGUUGAACAUGAUCUAUACUACUUGAAGUAUCUGGAAACCAAAUUUUAAAUUUUUUCGACAUCAUUAACCUAAUGAUCAAAUGGUUUCAAAACUUCUAAUUUUAAUGGUAGAUAUGAGGUUUUAUUUAAUAGUGUAAAGACAUCCAAUUCAAUUGAAUUUUUGUUAGAAAAUUCUUUAAACUAUUUAGAACAAAACAUAUACUCUCGAUCUUAAUUAUAAGAUUUUUAUCUUUACUUUUUAUAAAGAAUAUUUAUUUUCAGCCGUUCAUUUUGGGUCCAUUUGAUGGAUAAGAGAGCAAUAGCAAAAAAAACAUGAAAUUUGGUUUCUAAAUGCUUUAUAUGGUAUAAAUCAUAUCCAACGGUACUGAUCGUUGAUUUGGAGGCCUCAUCAUUAAAAACAAAUAGGUGGCAACAGAGCUUGUUUACUACCGAUAGCAUUCCAGCUCAACUCUCUUUCUUUCUAUAAGCUAAAUUACAGAAAAUCUCUCUAUAACUAUUCGAUUUUUCACUUUCCCUCUCUAACUUUCAAAAACCUAUAAUUGUCUCUUUAAAAUUUGAGAAAUAUUUUCAAGGGUACGACGUUAAUGGAGCGAGCAAAAUAAUCAAAUUAUCCUUAUUUCUUUUAUGAGAAAAAAAUAAUUUUUUAAUAUGUUUCUAUCAUUUUGAAGGGCAUUGUCAAUAUAAAUUAAAAAAUAAUUGACAGAAUAGUGAUGGAACCCUGAUGGAGGGGAGCUAAAUGUAACUACUUGAAAUGUUGAGGGAGUAAAAUAUAGUUUUUUGAAAGUUAGAGAGGAAAAGUAAAAAAAUUGAAUAUUUAUAAGGAUUUUUUUUGGUAAUUUAGCCUAUUUUAAAGAAGUUUUCUAUGAAACAAAUAACAUGCUAAAAUUUAUAUAUUGUAGUUUUUUCUUCAAUAAUGUAGGCACCUAUCGUUA